rnacentral:ncRNA from 2 species
CCGGUAUAACUUGCUUUAGGUAUUCAUGGACUAUCGUCCGCAGAAUUGAAACGGGAAGUUGGUGAGUUCGCUUAAAUUUAGCGCACGAAGCCCACGCUGCCCCCGCAACGGUAAACAAGUAAAAGGUUUGCAAACGCCACUGUGUCACGCAUGGGAAGGCGCCAACCUUGGAAGCUCAAGCAUUGCUUUCAACUCGUGAGCCCGGAGACCGGCCUGAAGCGAUAAUCGAAU